rnacentral:rRNA from 1 species
GAUGAACGCUGACAGAAUGCUUAACACAUGCAAGUCGAUGGGGAAGUGGUGCUUGCACCAUGGCAACCAUGGCGGACGGGUGAGUAACGCGUAAGGGACUUACCUGCAGGACUGGGAUAACAGGGGGAAACUCCUGACAAGACCGGAUAAUGUCAUGGAGCUGCAUGGCUUUAUGAUGAAAGGAGACGCCUGCGGAGAGCCUUGCGUCCUAUUAGCUAGUUGGUGAGGUAAGGGCUCACCAAGGCGAAGAUAGGUAGCCGGCCUGAGAGGGUGGACGGCCACAAGGGGACUGAGAUACGGCCCUUACUCCUACGGGAGGCAGCAGUGGGGAAUAUUGGACAAUGGGGGCAACCCUGAUCCAGCAAUUCUGUGUGCACGAAGAAGGUUUUCGGAUUGUAAAGUGCUUUCAGCAGGGAAGAAGGAAGUGACGGUACCUGCAGAAGAAGCGACGGCUAAAUACGCGCCAGCAGCCGCGGUAAUACGUAUGUCGCGAGCGUUAUCCGGAAUUAUUGGGCAUAAAGGGCAUCUAGGCGGCCUGACAAGUCAGGGGUGAAAACCUGCGGCUCAACCGCAGGCCUGCCUUUGAAACUGUGAGGCUGGAGUACCGGAGAGGUGGACGGAACUGCACGAGUAGAGGUGAAAUUCGUAGAUAUGUGCAGGAAUGCCGAUGAUGAAGAUAGUUCACUGGACGGUAACUGACGCUGAAGUGCGAAAGCCGGGGGAGCAAACAGG